AUGAACGCUAGCGGUGCGCCUAACACAUGCAAGUCGAGCGGGAUUAGAGGGCUUGCUCUCUAAUUUAGCGGCAAACGGGUGCGUAACACGUUGAUACUUCCCCCAAAGUGAGGAAUAGCCUCGAGAAAUCGAGAGUAAUACCGCAUACGCCUUAGGGUAAAAGCAGUAAUGCGCUAUGGGAAAGGUCUGCGGCCUAUCAGCUAGUUGGUGAGGUAAUGGCUCACCAAGGCGAUGACGGGUAGCUGGUCUGAGAGGACGACCAGCCACAAUGGAACUGCGACACGGUCCAUACUCCUACGGGAGGCAGCAGUGAGGAAUCUUCCACAAUGGGCGAAAGCCUGAUGGAGCGACACCGCGUGAAGGAUGAAGCCUUUGUUGGUGUAAACUUCUUUUCUCUGGGAAGAUAAUGACGGUACCAGAGGAAUAAGGGGCGGCAAACUUCGU
rnacentral:rRNA from 1 species